rnacentral:piRNA from 1 species
UGGAAGAUUUCCAUCUUUAUAGGAGCCG